rnacentral:rRNA from 1 species
UACAGAGGUCCCAAGCGUUGUUCGGAUUCACUGGGCGUAAAGAGCUCGUAGGCGGCUUAGUAAGUCGGGUGUGAAAACCCCAGGCUCAACCUGGGGACGCCACCCGAUACUGCUAUAGCUAGAGUCCAGUAGGGGAGUGUGGAAUUCCCAGUGUAGCGGUGAAAUGCGCAGAUAUUGGGAGGAACACCAGCGGCGAAGGCGGCACUCUGGGCUGGUACUGACGCUGAGGAGCGAAAGCGUGGGUAGCGAACAGG